rnacentral:rRNA from 1 species
UAGGGAAUCUUCCGCAAUGGGCGAAAGCCUGACGGAGCAACGCCGCGUGAGUGAUGAAGGUCUUCGGAUCGUAAAACUCUGUUAUUAGGGAAGAACAAAUGUGUAAGUAACUAUGCACGUCUUGACGGUACCUAAUCAGAAAGCCACGGCUAACUACGUGCCAGCAGCCGCGGUAAUACGUAGGUGGCAAGCGUUAUCCGGAAUUAUUGGGCGUAAAGCGCGCGUAGGCGGUUUUUUAAGUCUGAUGUGAAAGCCCACGGCUCAACCGUGGAGGGUCAUUGGAAACUGGAAAACUUGAGUGCAGAAGAGGAAAGUGGAAUUCCAUGUGUAGCGGUGAAAUGCGCAGAGAUAUGGAGGAACACCAGUGGGGAAGGCGACUUUCUGGUCUGUAACUGAGGCUGAUGUGCGAAAGCGUGGGGAUCAAACAGG